ACGAACGCUGGCGGCGUGCUUCACACAUGCCAGUCGAACGGAAAGGCCCUGCUUUUGUGGGGUGCUCGAGUGGCGAACGGGUGAGUAACACGUGAGUAACCUGCCCUUGACUUUGGGAUAACUUUAGGAAACUGGGGCUAAUACCGGAUAGGAGCUCCUGCUGCAUGGUGGGGGUUGGAAAGUUUCGGCGGUUGGGGAUGGACUCGCGGCUUAUCAGCUUGUUGGUGGGGUAGUGGCUUACCAAGGCUUUGACGGGUAGCCGGCCUGAGAGGGUGACCGGCCACAUUGGGACUGAGAUACGGCCCAGACUCCUACGGGAGGCAGCAGUGGGGAAUAUUGCACAAUGGGCGGAAGCCUGAUGCAGCAACGCCGCGUGCGGGAUGACGGCCUUCGGGUUGUAAACCGCUUUCGCCUGUGACGAAGCGUGAGUGACGGUAAUGGGUAAAGAAGCACCGGCUAACUACGUG
rnacentral:rRNA from 1 species